rnacentral:rRNA from 1 species
UGGGGAAUUUUGGACAAUGGGCGAAAGCCUGAUCCAGCAAUGCCGCGUGUGUGAAGAAGGCCUUCGGGUUGUAAAGCACUUUUGUCCGGAAAGAAAUGGCUCUGGUUAAUACCUGGCGUCGAUGACGGUACCGGAAGAAUAAGGACCGGCUAACUACGUGCCAGCAGCCGCGGUAAUACGUAGGGUCCAAGCGUUAAUCGGAAUUACUGGGCGUAAAGCGUGCGCAGGCGGUUGUGCAAGACCGAUGUGAAAUCCCCGAGCUUAACUUGGGAAUUGCAUUGGUGACUGCACGGCUAGAGUGUGUCAGAGGGGGGUAGAAUUCCACGUGUAGCAGUGAAAUGCGUAGAGAUGUGGAGGAAUACCGAUGGCGAAGGCAGCCCCCUGGGAUAACACUGACGCUCAUGCACGAAAGCGUGGGGAGCAAACAGG